rnacentral:rRNA from 1 species
UACGUAGGGUCCGAGCGUUGUUCGGAAUUACUGGGCGUAAAGCGCACGUAGGCGGACUUAUAAGUCAGGGGUGAAAUCCCGGGGCUCAACCUCGGAACUGCCUUUGAUACUGUAAGUCUCGAGACCGGAAGAGGUGAGUGGAAUUCCUAGUGUAGAGGUGAAAUUCGUAGAUAUUAGGAAGAACACCAGUGGCGAAGGCGGCUCACUGGUCCGGUUCUGACGCUGAGGUGCGAAAGCGUGGGGAGCAAACAGG